CAAUAGCGUAUAUUAAUGUUGUUGCAGUUAAAAAGCUCGUAGUUGGAUUUCUGGUGGGAGCGGCCGGUCCGCCGUAAGGUGUGUACUUGGUUGUCUCCUGUCAUCCUUGUGGGAACUGCUCUGGCAUUAAGUUGUCGGGGUUAGGGAACACAUCGUUUACUGUGAAAAAAUUAGAGUGUUUAAAGCAGGCUUAUGCCGUUGAAUACAUUAGCAUGGAAUAAUAAGAUAGGACUUUGGCGUCUAUUUUGUUGGUUUGCACACCAAGGUAAUGAUUAAUAGGGAUAGUUGGGGGUAUUCGUAUUUAAUUGUCAGAGGUGAAAUUCUUGGAUUUAUGAAAGACGAACUACUGCGAAAGCAUUUACCAAGGAUGUUUUCAUUAA
rnacentral:rRNA from 1 species